ACACGACUACAUUAGAUACCCCGGUAGUCCUGGCCGUAAACGAUGUGGACUUGGUGUUGGAAUGGCUCCGAGCUGCUCCAGUGCCGAAGGGAAGCUGUUAAGUCCACCGCCUGGGAAGUACGGUCGCAAGGCUGAAACUUAAAGGAAUUGGCGGGGAGCACCACAACGGGUGGAGCCUGCGGUUUAAUUGGACUCAACGCCGGAAAUCUCACCGGAUAGGACAGACAUAUGAUAGUCGGGCUGAAGACUCUACUUGAUGAUCUG
rnacentral:rRNA from 1 species